rnacentral:rRNA from 1 species
AGAGUUUGAUCCUGGCUCAGGACGAACGCUGGCGGCGUGCUUAAGACAUGCAAGUCGAACGGGUUCAGUUCCUUCGGGGACUGGGCUAGUGGCGGACGGGUGAGUAACACGUGAGCAACCUGCCCUUUGGACCGGGAUAGCACCUCGAAAGGGGUGGCUAAUACCGGGUCGGAGGUCUCCGGCCCGCCAUGGGUUGGGGAGGGAAAGGGAAACCGACCGAACGGAGGGGCGUCGCGGCCACUUAGCUAGUUGGUGUGGUAAUGGCGCACCAAGGCGACGAUGGUAG